rnacentral:rRNA from 1 species
GACGAACGCUGGCGGCGUGCUUAACACAUGCAAGUCGAACGGAAAGGCCCUGCUUUUGUGGGGUGCUCGAGUGGCGAACGGGUGAGUAACACGUGAGUAACCUGCCCUUGACUUUGGGAUAACUUCAGUAAACUGGGGCUAAUACCGGAUAGGAGCUCCUGCUGCAUGGUGGGGGUUGGAAAGUUUCGGCGGUUGGGGAUGGACUCGCGGCUUAUCAGCUUGUUGGUGGGGUAGUGGCUUACCAAGGCUUUGACGGGUAGCCGGCCUGAGAGGGUGACCGGCCACAUUGGGACUGGGAGACGGCCCAGAAUCCUACGGGAGGCAGCGGUGGAGAAUAUUGCACAAUGGGCGGAAGCCUGAGGCAGCAACGCCGCGUGCGGGAUGACGGCCUUCGGGUUGUAAACCGCAUUCGCCUGUGACGAAGCGGGAGUGACGGUAAUGGGUAAAGAAGCACCGGCUAACUACGUG